rnacentral:sRNA from 1 species
UCCAAGGGAAAUUUCGCCACUGCUUGGUC